CUCCUCCCGGUUUUCAGAACUGGGGAGGCUCUUGUGCGGCCUGAGCUUGGCUGGUUCACUGCGAGGUUUCGGCGCGCCCGAGGACUCCACAUGGACCGUGCCUGUCGCUGGGGAGGCUUCCUCUUCUCAGGGAGCAAGUGUAGUGUACUGCAGAGUGGCUUCAUUUUGAUGGCUCUUCCUUUGCUCCUCUAAAGCAGCCUCCAGCUGCCAUCGUGCUGUGCUGGGGAAGCCACAGCUGCUGGUGCUGCAUGUGCUGAUGUUCUCCACUCAGCCAGUUUCCAUGGGAAAUCUCCCUAGAUAUUUGUGGUGAGUAGUUACAGCCCUGCUUGUGUCCAUACUGGAGCCACUGGCUCUCUUCCAGAGGUAGCACCUGCUACACCAACAGCCGCCCUUCUCCCCGAGCUCCGUGCUGCCUGAUCCCACUCUGGAUGCAGGACCCGUCCCCGUGCUGGAGCUGGGCUUCAUUUGCUCCUGCGCUGUGCCCUUAGCACACAGACUUUGCACCGCUCCCCCUCCUGCAGCCCCCACCAAACCCUCACCCCCAGCGCUGGUUUCUCCCAAUAACACACGUGCCUACUGCUUGUUUA